rnacentral:rRNA from 1 species
GUCCACGCCCUAAACGAUGUCAACUGGUUGUUGGGUCUUCACUGACUCAGUAACGAAGCUAACGCGUGAAGUUGACCGCCUGGGGAGUACGGCCGCAAGGUUGAAAACUCAAAGGAAUUGACGGGGACCCGCACAAGCGGUGGAUGAUGUGGUUUAAUUCGAUGCAACGCGAAAAACCUUACCCACCUUUGACAUGUAUGGAAGCCUUUAGAGAUAGAGGUGUGCUCGAAAGAGAGCCAUAACACAGGUGCUGCAUGGCUGUCGU